UGUGUAUAUGUAAGUUGUUGUUGAGUUUCUAAUCACUUCUCAUUCAAUGCUUCCAGUUCUUGAAAACGUAAGAUGAUAUUUUCUUCACUCGUAAGACCUUUUUGUAUGAUAGUGUGAUGUUUCCAAUUUUCGGCAUUUUUCAUUUUUUCUAGAAUUCUGUUGAUGCCAGGGUAUUUUCGUCAUUUUAUGUUUUGCGUGCCGGACGCCGUGGGGUGUGCCGGGUGUGUCAAUGAGUUGUUGGGGCAUCUCAUUGAGUUCGGCACUCUUUGAAAUGCAAGGUUGUCAUUUUUCCAUAUUUUUCCAUUUUUUGGAUCGGACGAUCCCGUGUGGGACCCGCUAUCGGUAUUGUUGUGCACUGGGAUUUUAGUUGGGUUCAUUUACAUUUUAUGCAUUUUAUUUUAUGUGACUUAUGUGACAUUUGUAUGGUGGAGCAUUAUAUGUAAUUGUGUGGUGUAGAAUUAAAGACAAAAGAUAAAGGGAAAAUAAAAUAAAAUAGGUGGGACCCACCAUUAUCUCACAAAAGAGUUAGAGACCACAUUUUGGUCUCAUUUCCUUAAUUCUCUCUCUCAUUCCCGUAGCUCUCUCUUCCUCCCUCUUCUUUUUCAUUUUUCUUUUUCUUUUUGUAUCAAACUUUGAUCUUAGAUUUCUCCCACAAUAUUUGGAGUUUUUAGAAGCCGUUUGCACCAAAUCGAAGCCCACAACGAGGCCUUCAAAUCCCUACAAGCAAUUUCAGUUUUGGUGCUCCCUAAGAUUUUCAAAAAUCUAGACCCAUUUUGAGGGUUUUGCAUCAAUUUGAGGACACGGCAAGGAGUUGGCGGAUGAUAAUCCACCACAGGCUUGAGAGGACUUAAAGGACAUUUUGAAAGUAUUUGAGAAGCUUGAGUUUAUUUUGUGUAGUGGCGUGAUAAAGAUUGUACUAAGUUUAUUUGGCAUGAAUAGUAUGUUAUAACUUGAAGCUUGAAUUCAUUUUGUUGUAAAUUAAGACAAUGGCAAAGACUAUGUAUAAACUCCAUGUAAUUGAAUUUUAUGACAUUGUAAUCGU